rnacentral:rRNA from 1 species
ACGGGAGGCAGCAGUAGGGAAUCUUCGGCAAUGGGGGCAACCCUGACCGAGCAACGCCGCGUGAGUGAAGAAGGUUUUCGGAUCGUAAAGCUCUGUUGUAAGAGAAGAACGUUGUGUAGAGUGGAAAGUUACACAAGUGACGGUAUCUUACCAGAAAGGGACGGCUAACUACGUGCCAGCAGCCGCGGUAAUACGUAGGUCCCGAGCGUUGUCCGGAUUUAUUGGGCGUAAAGCGAGCGCAGGCGGUUUAUUAAGUCUGAAGUCAAAGGCAUUGGCUCAACCAAUGUACGCUUUGGAAACUGGUAAACUUGAGUGCAGAAGGGGAGAGUGGAAUUCCAUGUGUAGCGGUGAAAUGCGUAGAUAUAUGGAGGAACACCGGUGGCGAAAGCGGCUCUCUGGUCUGUAACUGACGCUGAGGCUCGAAAGCGUGGGGAGCGAACAGGAUUAGAUACCCUGGUA